rnacentral:rRNA from 1 species
GCCCGGCGAAAGCCGGAUUAAUACCGCAUACGAUCUACGGAUGAAAGCGGGGGACCUUCGGGCCUCGCGCUAUAGGGUUGGCCGAUGGCUGAUUAGCUAGUUGGUGGGGUAAAGGCCUACCAAGGCGACGAUCAGUAGCUGGUCUGAGAGGACGACCAGCCACACUGGGACUGAGACACGGCCCAGACCUCCUACGGGAGCUUGUCCUGGGGAAUUUUGUAAUGGGAGAAAAUACGAUCCCGCAAUGCCGCGUGUGUUAAGAAAGCCUUCCGGUUGAAAACAAUAUUUGUCCGGAAAGAGAUAGUUGGAUCUAAUACAGUCGSGGGGAUCACCUCAUAUCUGGAUAAGCACCGGCUAACU